CCUACGGGUGGCAGCAGUGAGGAAUAUUGGUCAAUGGGCGGAAGCCUGAACCAGCCAAGUAGCGUGCAGGAUGACGGCCCUACGGGUUGUAAACUGCUUUUAUACGGGAAUAACGCGCCUUACGUGUAGGGCUUUGCAUGUACCGUAUGAAUAAGGAUCGGCUAAUUCCGUGCCAGCAGCCGCGGUAAUACGGAAGGUCCGGGCGUUAUCCGGAUUUAUUGGGUUUAACGGGAGCGUAGGCGGCAUGUUAAGCGUGCUGUGAAAUGUCCGGGCUCAACCCGGGCCUUGCCGUGCAAACUGGCGUUCUUGAGUGCGCUGAAAGCAGGCGGAAUUCGUCGUGUAGCGGUGAAAUGCUUAGAUAUGACGCAGAACCCCGAUUGCGAAGGCAGCUUGCUGCAGCGGAACUGACGCUGAUGCUCGAAAGCGCGGGUAUCGAACAGGAUUAGAUACCCUUGUAGUC
rnacentral:rRNA from 1 species